rnacentral:rRNA from 1 species
UACAGAGGGUGCGAGCGUUAAUCGGAAUUACUGGGCGUAAAGCGUGCGUAGGUGGUUGUUUAAGUCUGUUGUGAAAGCCCUGGGCUCAACCUGGGAACUGCAGUGGAAACUGGAUGACUAGAGUGUGGUAGAGGGUAGCGGAAUUCCCGGUGUAGCAGUGAAAUGCGUAGAGAUCGGGAGGAACAUCCAUGGCGAAGGCAGCUACCUGGACCAACACUGACACUGAGGCACGAAAGCGUGGGGAGCAAACAGG